CGAGAUCUGAUGGUUUAAAAGUGUUUGGCAGUUCACCUCAUUGCUCGCUGUCUUGCCUCCACGUGAAGAAGGUCCUUACUUCCCCUUUGCCUUCUGCCACAAUUGUAAGUUUCCUGAGGCCUCUCCAGCCAAGCAGAACUGUGACCCUCUGAAUUCUAGUUGUCUUGACCUUGUUGGACUCCCAGCUUCAUCCCCUCAACUCAGGAAUACUGUCCAGCUCUAUUUUGGUUUCUCCUUUCUUCACUGCAACCUGGAAGUUGUCUCUAGGUG
rnacentral:lncRNA from 1 species